GGUCGAUGAUGAGCUGUAAAAGGUCUGAAUGCCCAAGUCUCCACUCAGCCGCCCUUUGGCUCCCAGCAGGCCCUGCUCUUUACCCAGCAUGCUCUAGUUGUGCAGCGCUGGUUCUAGGGUCUGCUGACAGUCCUGAUGCCUCUUUAAGUCUGUGGCUGCAGGAGACUCAGCUGUCACGCAUAGGAGGCAUCGCACACCAGACCCCCUCAGGAGUGUCAGGGCAGGCUGUGGAGAUAGGCAGCUGAUCACAAGUUUUCAAGCUGAGACC